GGGUCAGUAGGUUGGUCGUGCCACCGGUACGUACUGGUCUCACUGAUUCCUCCUUCCUGAAGAACCGUAAUGCCAUUAAUUUGGUGUUGCGGGGAAACAGGACUGUUACUUUGAAAAAAUUAGAGUGUUUAAAGCAAGCUAACGCCUGAAUACAUUAGCGUGGAAUAAUGAAAUAGGACGAUCGAUCCUAUUUUGUUGGUUUCUAGGAUUGACGUA
rnacentral:rRNA from 1 species